CUCUUUCGGGUGCUGAGUUCCUAGCAAAAGAUCUUGGUUUGUUGGUUGAAAAUGCUACAGAGGAACAACUUGGCACAACAAGGAAAGUCACGAUACAUCAGACUACAACAACCCUCAUAGCAGAUGCAGCCAGUAAAGAUGAGAUCCAGGCGAGGAUUGCAUAACUAAAGAAGGAGCUUGCUGAGACUGAUUCAGUUUAUGAUACUGAGAAAUUGGCCGAGAGAAUUUCUAAGCUUGCCGGUGGUGUUGCUGUUAUCAAGGUUGGAGCUGCAACUGAGACUGAGCUUGAGGACCGCCAACUAAGAAUUGAGGAUGCAAAAAAUGCCACUUUUGCAGCUAUAGAGGAGGGCAUCGUUCCAGGAGGUGGUGCGGCAUAUGUGCACCUAUCUACGGUUGUCCCUAAGAUCAAAGAAGCAAUUGAGGACCCUGAUCAGCGUCUUGGCGCUAAUAUUAUUCAAAAGGCAUUGGUAGCACCUGCUUCAUUGAUUGCACACAAUGCUGGAGUAGAGGGUGAAGUGGUUGUCGAGAAGAUCAAGGAGAGCGAUUGGGAGGUGGGCUACAAUGCAAUGACUGACAAGUACGAGAUCCUGAUGGAGGCUGGUGUGAUCGACCCUGCCAAGGUGACCAGGUGUGCGCUCUAGAAUGCGGCCUCAGUAGCUGGAAUGGUCCUAACCACACAGGCCAUUGUUGUUGAGAAGCCAAAGCCGAAGCCUCAAGUGGCAGAGCCACCGGAGGGAGCCCUUACCAUUUAAAAUUUAACGUUCUUGAGGCUGCUGUCCAGACGGUUCAGAUCAGUUGAGAGGGUAGAACUUUGGUUUGAGAAUUUUGGUUCAGAUCCACUAGGAGUUGUAGAGUAGGAUUGCUAUUUUGCAGACGAAGAGUAAUUUUACUCUGGUCUGAACUUAUCCGAAUCAAAGACAUUUGCAUCACCAUUUUUUUAAAAUAAGCUCAUGGCGAUGCUGGAUUGUACGAGCA